rnacentral:lncRNA from 1 species
AAUGAGCUUCACAAGUACAAAUUCAUUACAAACCAAAGCACUAACUGGAGAGUAUGAUUGAUCAUAGACAAUAAGGUGAGGCCAUCCAUGAAUAGCAAAAUGGAACACUGCAUUAUAAGUAACAGGGCAUAUGAAAAGCGAUGCUAAGAUAGAAGAGGCCUUUCCAUCCAACACGCGAUGAAGACCAGUAAUUAACAUUUACUUUCUGGAUUGGAGGAUGAUUCUUGAACUGAAGAUGAAAAAACAGAGGAGCAUUGACGAUAGAAGUACCGAUACAAUUUUUGAAGCUUGUAUUUACGUGUAAAAACCAAUUAGCAUGAGUGAGCGGUUAUAGGAUGCAGCUCAUCAAUCAUGUACAUUGUUGUUUUCUUACCGAACAAACAUCAAGUGGAAAAACUACAAACAAGUCACUGUCGUGGCACAUCAUCAUUCUUGGAACUGGAAAUAAAGAAAGGUCUAAAUUGGCAGUAAUAUGGCAUGAAACAGAAUUAAAUAGUACUCAAGUCCAGCAGAUUAUAUAGCUUACACUAAGCGGAAAAAUACACUCAACUGGGGUCAUACUUUCUACUCCAUAACGCUUAGAACCGAGGGGAGUUAACAAAUCAGUAAUAGUAAAUACACUCAAAAUUACAAUUUGUUAUUAUCUUCGUUGAACGACCAAAAUUAGCAACACAAUCAGAGGGCCGUAUAGGCCUCUACGUUUAAUAACAGAAAAGGUAGGGUCCAUGUAGGCAUCUACGUUUAAUAACAGAAAAGGUAGACAUUAAAUAUACAGAAUCAUGAGAAUGUAUGUUCUUACAUUGAAAAGAUGUUCAUCGCCGUCAUUGGAAGGAGGCACAAAGAGACACCUAAUUUUCAGAUGUAUAACAGUAUAAGCACAUUUUACACUCACUAUGACAUAAGCAGAAAUGGACCACACUAUAGUCUGUUUACUACAUGUUCUCAGUCCAUCUACUAUAGUCCAGUUAAUUACUGCAUGCUCAUUUCCUCUACAUGUGAAUAUAUAUGUAACAUCGAGAACAUGAUAUAUAUCUUGGGGUCUGGGAUAACACAUCUAUAUCCUAGGUAGACAUCCAGGUCUCCUAUAAAAUUAGGAACAAUAAAAGCAUAAAAUACCAAGAUUACUAUGAUUUUGUUUAACUCGAGGCAUCAAAUGUUCACGCAAAAGAUAAGAUCAUAAUAAAAAGGACCAACAUAUUUCCAAUAGAACUCACCUUCUAAUUUUUUUGGGGAUUCUUUUGGUACACAACAUAAGCCUUCAAACAUUUGAGCACAUGGUAUAUCUUGAAAACUACAGCACCUUGUGCAAACCAACCAGCACAAAAGACACAAUGCAUUUUCUUUUUUUUCAGAAACACCACUUUUGGCAACAGAAAACAAAUUAUAGUGGAAAUAAAUAAGAACACAUUGGCAUUCUUUGGGUUCUUGACAUGGUAGCAAGGAAAAAGCACAUGCUUGACCAGGCAAAUUAGAAUUGGCGAGAUACUAAGAAGCACAACACAAACUGAUCAGCAGUAUAAUCUUAUUGGCAUCACCCAAGUAGUACGCAUGUAUACCAUUGCAAAGUUAUUGGCAUCCUAAACUGCAGUUGACGCAUACACCAAGUCACACAUACAGAACUGCAAGUGUAUUUUCUUUUCAUAGAUAAACAAACUUAACUAUCUCAGCAAGUACCAAAACAUAAAUGAUCUCACUAUCUUUAUCAAGUCAUACCAAAUAAAA